rnacentral:rRNA from 1 species
AACGAGCGAGAGAGAGCUUGCUUUCUCGAGCGAGUGGCGAACGGGUGAGUAACGCGUGAGGAACCUGCCUCAAAGAGGGGGACAACAGUUGGAAACGACUGCUAAUACCGCAUAAGCCCACGGGUCGGCAUCGACCAGAGGGAAAAGGAGCAAUCCGCUUUGAGAUGGCCUCGCGUCCGAUUAGCUAGUUGGUGAGGUAACGGCCCACCAAGGCGACGAUCGGUAGCCGGACUGAGAGGUUGAACGGCCACAUUGGGACUGAGACACGGCCCAGACUCCUACGGGAGGCAGCAGUGGGGAAUAUUGCACAAUGGGGGAAACCCUGAUGCAGCGACGCCGCGUGGAGGAAGAAGGUCUUCGGAUUGUAAACUCCUGUUGUUGAGGAAGAUAAUGACGGUACUCAACAAGGAAGUGACGGCUAACUACGUGCCAGCAGCCGCGGUAAAACGUAGGCCACAAGCGUUGUCCGGAAUUACUGGGUGUAAAGGGAGCGCAGGCGGGAAGACAAGUUGGAAGUGAAAUCCAUGGGCUCAACCCAUGAACUGCUUUCAAAACUGUUUUUCUUGAGUAGUGCAGAGGUAGG